rnacentral:rRNA from 1 species
CCUACGGGUGGCAGCAGUGAGGAAUAUUGGUCAAUGGACGCAAGUCUGAACCAGCCAAGUCGCGUGCGGGAAGACGGCCCUAUGGGUUGUAAACUGCUUUUGUACGAGAGCAAACGCAGAACCGCGUAUCUGUCUGAAAGUAACGUACGAAUAAGGAUCGGCUAACUCCGUGCCAGCACCCGCGGUAAUAGGGAGGAUCCAAGCGUUAUCCGGUUUUUUGGGGUUUAAAGGGGGCGGAGCCGGUGGUUAAAGUUAGAGGUCAAAUCUCGGGGCCAAACUUCGGAAUGCCGCUGAAACUGUGCGGCUAGAGAGUACGAGCGGUAGGCGGAAUGUGUGGUGUAGCGGUGAAAUGCUUAGAGAUCAUGCAGAACACCGAUUGCGAAGGCAGCAUACC